rnacentral:tRNA from 1 species
GGAGAGGUGGCAGAGCGGUUGAAUGCACCGGUCUUGAAAACCGGAGGGCCUGUAAGGGUCUCGCGGGUUCGAAUCCCGCCCUCUCCG